rnacentral:rRNA from 1 species
AGUGAACGCUGGCGGUAGGCCUAACACAUGCAAGUCGAACGGCAGCACAGGAGAGCUUGCUCUCUGGGUGGCGAGUGGCGGACGGGUGAGGAAUACAUCGGAAUCUACUCUGUCGUGGGGGAUAACGUAGGGAAACUUACGCUAAUACCGCAUACGACCUACGGGUGAAAGCAGGGGACCUUCGGGCCUUGCGCGAUUGAAUGAGCCGAUGUCGGAUUAGCUAGUUGGCGGGGUAAAGGCCCACCAAGGCGACGAUCCGUAGCUGGUCUGAGAGGAUGAUCAGCUACACUGGAACUGAGACACGGUCCAGACUCCUACGGGAGGCAGCAGUGGGGAAUAUUGGACAAUGGGCGCAAGCCUGAUCCAGCCGUACCGCGUGGGUGAAGAAGGCCUUCGGGUUGUAAAGCCCUUUUGUUGGGAAAGAAAUCCAGCUGGCUAAUACCCGGUUGGGAUGACGGUACCCAAAGAAUAAGCACCGGCUAACUUCGUGCCAGCAGCCGCAGUAA